rnacentral:rRNA from 1 species
GAUGAACGCUGGCGGCGUGCUUAAUACAUGCAAGUCGAGCGAACGGACGAGAAGCUUGCUUCUCUGAUGUUAGCGGCGGACGGGUGAGUAACACGUGGAUAACCUACCUAUAAGACUGGGAUAACUUCGGGAAACCGGAGCUAAUACCGGAUGAUAUUUUGAACCGCAUGGUUCAAAAGUGAAAGACGGUCUUGCUGUCACUUAUAGAUGGAUCCGCGCUGCAUUAGCUAGUUGGUAAGGUAACGGCUUACCAAGGCAACGAUGCAUAGCCGACCUGAGAGGGUGAUCGGCCACACUGGAACUGAGACACGGUCCAGACUCCUACGGGAGGCAGCAGUAGGGAAUCUUCCGCAAUGGGCGAAAGCCUGACGGAGCAACGCCGCGUGAGUGAUGAAGGUCUUCGGAUCGUAAAACUCUGUUAUUAGGGAAGAACAUAUGUGUAAGUAACUGUGCACAUCUUGACGGUACCUAAUCAGAAAGCCACGGCUAACUACGUG